AUGGCAACGGCAGGCAGCGACCAACGGCGGGCGGCGACCAACGGCGGGGGUGACGCGGGCGCAUCCAACGCGGUGGCGACGACGGCCGUGUCGGGGUCGGCGGUGGCCGGCGACGACACAAGCAGAAUGCCUAUCUUUCAAACUCGUUGGUCGGCAAAGCGGCUGCGCGAAAUAGCCAAUGACAUCAAAGGGAAAAAGAGAGAUGUAAUAAGCAAGUCCAGCUUCGGGGAUUUGCUGUUUAUAUCUCCUUUGGUCCCUCCUCCUGAAGAGCUUCUUGAUUUCAUUAUUAUGAACAUUGACCCUAAGAAUCGUGUGCUGAAGUAUGUGAAGUUGAUUCUCUCACUGAGGAUACAAAUGCAAUCCAAGAGCGCAACCAAGCUAUCGUCUCUUCCCUGUGUAAGCUAG
rnacentral:rRNA from 1 species